rnacentral:rRNA from 1 species
GUGACAAUAAAUACUGAUACAGGGGGCUUUUGUCUCUUGUAAUUGGAAUGAGUACAAUUUAAAUCUCUUAACGAGGAACAAUUGGAGGGCAAGUCUGGUGCCAGCAGCCGCGGUAAUUCCAGCUCCAAUAGCGUAUAUUAAAGUUGUUGCAGUUAAAAAGCUCGUAGUUGAACCUUGGGCCUGGCCGGCCGGUCUGCCUCACCGCAUGCACUGGUUUGGUUGGGCCUUUCCUUCUGGGGAGCCGCAUGUCCUUUACUGGAUGUGUUGGGGAACCAGGACUUUUACUUUGAAAAAAUUAGAGUGUUUAAAGCAGGCAUUAGCUCGAAUACAUUAGCAUGGAAUAAUAGAAUAGGACGCGUGGUUCUAUUUUGUUGGUUUUCUAGGACCACCGUAAUGAUUAAUAGGGAUAGUCGGGGG